rnacentral:lncRNA from 1 species
AGUAGGUGAUGUAGAAUUUCAAGUUUUAAAUCACAAUGUGAAAAGUGCGUAAUUUUUUUUGUUUUUAGGGACUGACCAUGCGUUUCAACAUACCAACUGGGACCAAUUUACCCCCUGUCAGUUUCAACUCUCAAACUCCUUAUAUUCCUUUCAAUUUGGGAGCCCUGUCAGCAAUGAGUAAUCAACAGCUGGAGGACCUCAUUAAUCAAGGAAGAGAAAAAGUUGUAGAAGCAACAAACAGUGUGACAGCAGUGAGGAUUCAACCUCUUGAAGAUAUAAUUUCAGCUGUAUGGAAGGAGAACAUGAAUCUCUCAGGGCCCCAAGUACAGGCGUUAGCAUUAAGUAGACAAGCCAGCCAGGAGCUUGAUGUUAAACGAAGAGAAGCAAUCUACAAUGAUGUAUUGACAAAACAACAGAUGGUAAGAAUUCUGACUUCUGUUUCUAGGUUAUGUUUAAUUUUCUUGAAUUUAUAAUAAUAAGUUUGUAUG